GGGCAUAAAGUGUGCGCAGGCGGUUCUGUAAGUCAGNUGUGAAAUCCCCGGGCUUAACCUGGGAACUGCGUUUGAAACUGCAGAGCUAGAGUGCGGCAGAGGGAGGUGGAAUUCCAUGUGUAGCAGUGAAAUGCGUAGAGAUAUGGAAGAACAUCGAUGGCGAAGGCAACCUCCUGGGCUAGCACUGACGCUCAUGACACGAAAGCGUGGGGAGACAAACAGGAUUAGAUACCCGUGGUAGUCCACGCCCUAAACUAUGUACAACUUAGUUGUCGGGUUACUUAAUAGUACUUAGGUAACGUAGCUAACGCGUGAAGUUGACCGCCGUAGGGGAGUACGGUCGACAAAGUAAUUAAAAACU
rnacentral:rRNA from 1 species